AGUGAACGCUGGCGGUAGGCCUAACACAUGCAAGUCGAACGGCAGCACAGUAAGAGCUUGCUCUUACGGGUGGCGAGUGGCGGACGGGUGAGGAAUACAUCGGAAUCUACUUUUUCGUGGGGGAUAACGUAGGGAAACUUACGCUAAUACCGCAUACGACCUACGGGUGAAAGCAGGGGAUCUUCGGACCCUGCGCGAUUGAAUGAGCCGAUGUCGGAUUAGCUAGUUGGCGGGGUAAAGGCCCACCAAGGCGACGAUCCGUAGCUGGUCUGAGAGGAUGAUCAGACACACUGGAACUGAGACACGGUCCAGACUCCUACGGGAGGCAGCAGUGGGGAAUAUUGGACAAUGGGCGCAAGCCUGAUCCAGCCAUACCGCGUGGGUGAAGAAGGCCUUCGGGUUGUAAAGCCCUUUUGUUGGGAAAGAAAAGCAGCAGGUUAAUACCCCGCUGUUCUGACGGUACCCAAAGAAUAAGCACCGGCUAACUUCGUG
rnacentral:rRNA from 1 species